AUUGAACGCUGGCGGCAGGCCUAACACAUGCAAGUCGAGCGGAUGAAGGGAGCUUGCUCCUGGAUUCAGCGGCGGACGGGUGAGUAAUGCCUAGGAAUCUGCCUGGUAGUGGGGGAUAACGUCCGGAAACGGGCGCUAAUACCGCAUACGUCCUGAGGGAGAAAGUGGGGGAUCUUCGGACCUCACGCUAUCAGAUGAGCCUAGGUCGGAUUAGUUAGUUGGUGGGGUAAAGGCCUACCAAGGCGACGAUCCGUAACUGGUCUGAGAGGAUGAUCAGUCACACUGGAACUGAGACACGGUCCAGACUCCUACGGGAGGCAGCAGUGGGGAAUAUUGGACAAUGGGCGAAAGCCUGAUCCAGCCAUGCCGCGUGUGUGAAGAAGGUCUUCGGAUUGUAAAGCACUUUAAGUGGGGAGGAAGGGCAGUAAGUUAAUACCUUGCUGUUUUGACGUUACCAACAGAAUAAGCACCGGCUAACUUCGUG
rnacentral:rRNA from 1 species